CGCCUCUCAGGAUUGCAUCUGGAGAGUUCCCAGUUCUCUACCAGUCUCGACUACGGGAGGGAGAGUCAAGCGGAGUCAUAUUUAUUCCAUUCCUCGCAUGGGCGGUGGCUAGCGAGUGGAAGAUAAUCUGCUACAAGU